GUUUGACUGGGGCGGUCUCCUCCCAAAGCGUAACGGAGGAGCACGAAGGUUAGCUAAUCCUGGUCGGACAUCAGGAGGUUAGUGCAAUGGCAUAAGCUAGCUUGACUGCGAGCGUGACGGCGCGAGCAGGUGCGAAAGCAGGUCAUAGUGAUCCGGUGGUUCUGAAUGGAAGGGCCAUCGCUCAACGGAUAAAAGGUACUCCGGGGAUAACAGGCUGAUACCGCCCAAGAGUUCAUAUCGACGGCGGUGUUUGGCACCUCGAUGUCGGCUCAUCACAUCCUGGGGCUGAAGUAGGUCCCAAGGGUAUGGCUGUUCGCCAUUUAAAGUGGUACGCGAGCUGGGUUUAGAACGUCGUGAGACAGUUCGGUCCCUAUCUGCCGUGGGCGCUGGAGAAUUGAGGGGGGCUGCUCCUAGUACGAGAGGACCGGAGUGGACGCAUCACUGGUGUUCGGGUUGUCAUGCCAAUGGCACUGCCCGGUAGCUAAAUGCGGAAGAGAUAAGUGCUGAAAGCAUCUAAGCACGAAACUUGCCCCGAGAUGAGUUCUCCCUGAGACUUUAAGUCUCCUGAAGGAACGUU
rnacentral:rRNA from 1 species